UACGAAGGGGGCUAGCGUUGCUCGGAAUCACUGGGCGUAAAGGGUGCGUAGGCGGGUCUUUAAGUCAGGGGUGAAAUCCUGGAGCUCAACUCCAGAACUGCCUUUGAUACUGAAGAUCUUGAGUUCGGGAGAGGUGAGUGGAACUGCGAGUGUAGAGGUGAAAUUCGUAGAUAUUCGGAAGAACACCAGUGGCGAAGGCGGCUCAGUGGCCCGGUACUGACGCUGAGGUGCGAAAGCGUGGGGAGCAAACAGG
rnacentral:rRNA from 1 species